GACGAACGCUGGCGGCGUGCCUAAUACAUGCAAGUAGAACGCUGAAGAGAGGAGCUUGCUCUUCUUGGAUGAGUUGCGAACGGGUGAGUAACGCGUAGGUAACCUGCCUUGUAGCGGGGGAUAACUAUUGGAAACGAUAGCUAAUACCGCAUAACAAUGGAUGACACAUGUCAUUUAUUUGAAAGGGGCAAUUGCUCCACUACAAGAUGGACCUGCGUUGUAUUAGCUAGUAGGUGAGGUAACGGCUCACCUAGGCGACGAUACAUAGCCGACCUGAGAGGGUGAUCGGCCACACUGGGACCGAGACACGGCCCAGACUCCUACGGGAGGCAGCAGUAGGGAAUCUUCGGCAAUGGGGGCAACCCUGACCGAGCAACGCCGCGUGAGUGAAGAAGGUUUUCGGAUCGUAAAGCUCUGUUGUAAGUCAAGAACGAGUGUGAGAGUGGAAAGUUCACACUGUGACGGUAGCUUACCAGAAAGGGACGGCUAACUACGUGCCAGCAGCCGCGGUAAUACGUAGGUCCCGAGCGUUGUCCGGAUUUAUUGGGCGUAAAGCGAGCGCAGGCGGUUUGAUAGUCUGAAGUUAAAGGCUGUGGCUCAACCAUAGUUCGCUUUGGAAACUGUCAAACUUGAGUGCAGAAGGGGAGAGUGGAAUUCCAUGUGUAGCGGUGAAAUGCGUAGAUAUAUGGAGGAACACCGGUGGCGAAAGCGGCUCUCUGGUCUGUAACUGACGCUGAGGCUCGAAAGCGUGGGGAGCGAACAGGAUUAGAUACCCUGGUAGUCCACGCCGUAAACGAUGAGUGCUAGGUGUUGGAUCCUUUCCGGGAUUCAGUGCCGCAGCUAACGCAUUAAGCACUCCGCCUGGGGAGUACGACCGCAAGGUUGAAACUCAAAGGAAUUGACGGGGGCCCGCACAAGCGGUGGAGCAUGUGGUUUAAUUCGAAGCAACGCGAAGAACCUUACCAGGUCUUGACAUCCCGAUGCUAUUUCUAGAGAUAGAAAGUUACUUCGGUACAUCGGUGACAGGUGGUGCAUGGUUGUCGUCAGCUCGUGUCGUGAGAUGUUGGGUUAAGUCCCGCAACGAGCGCAACCCCUAUUGUUAGUUGCCAUCAUUCAGUUGGGCACUCUAGCGAGGCUGCCGGUAAUAAACCGGAGGAAGGUGGGGAUGACGUCAAAUCAUCAUGCCCCUUAUGACCUGGGCUACACACGUGCUACAAUGGUUGGUACAACGAGUUGCGAGUCGGUGACGGCAAGCUAAUCUCUUAAAGCCAAUCUCAGUUCGGAUUGUAGGCUGCAACUCGCCUACAUGAAGUCGGAAUCGCUAGUAAUCGCGGAUCAGCACGCUGCGGUGAAUACGUUCCCGGGCCU
rnacentral:rRNA from 1 species